AAAAAAAUUGUAUAUCAACAAUACUUCAAUAAAAAAAGAUUUGGCAAUGGAAAAAAAAGAAAAAAGGUGACAGUGGCUGCUGUGUGGAACGGGGCGACCAUGAAGCAAGAGCAGGAGCCGGUGUAACGUCAGGAGGCCGCCUGAUGAGAGACGUGACCCUGUGGCUCAGUGGCAGCGGGGAUGCCGGUGAGGUGUACACAGGGUGUGUUUUGAAGGUGGGCCCAGCAAAACUCGUUAUGCCAUCAGAUGUGGGAGUAGGUGGGGUCAGCAGCGUCAAGAACGACUCUUGAGAUUUUGUUUUGAGAGUGGCUGAAUGAUACUGGCUUUUACUGAGCAGGGUGGGAAGACUUGAGGAACAGGUUUGGAAUGAAGAGGUGUGUUUUUGGGCACCUAAGUCUGAGAGGCUAUUAGACAGUUCAGUACAGAUAUCAAGCAGACAAGUAGGAUAUACAUCUGAAGGCCAAGUCUAUAUAUCUGAAGACACAAAUUUAAGAGACAACUGCAUGUAGGUGAUGUUUAAAGCCAAGGCCCUGGGUGAGAUCACAUAGGAAAGGGGAGAUGCUGACGAAGGCCAGGAUGGGCUCCAGACACCCCAGCAUUUGGAGUUUGGGCCUUAGAGAAGAAGCCAGAGCAGCAUCCUGGCUCCUGAGGUUGCAUGUCUUCCUGGACCUAUAAGAAGGAACUGCUCUGCUGUGGGAAUUGCUGCAUUCCUGGUUGGGACCAGCAUGCUGCUUGGCUUUGAAUGUUCCCAAAGCCUCAGCUUGUCCAGGAGGGGAAGGCUUCUGUCCCCACACUCUGCGUGCCUGGGCAACAGCCUCCUUAAAGACUCCGACAAAGAGUGACAACAGGACUGGGGACGACCACAUUUUUGACCUGACUUUAGCUAAUGGAACACAUCUAACAUAGUGACAUAAGGAGCUCAAAGAUAAGGCACCCCUAUAAAAGGACCCGGCUGGGCCAUGUAAGCCAGCUGUCUUUGAGGAUUCCACUGCUUGACAUGAAGAAACAGCUGCAGAGGAGAUAUCAGGUCUUGGGGAUAUUUCCCUUUAAACGUAUCUUGUUUUUGUUUUUUUGAGGUGGCUGAGGAGGAUAGCUUUCAAUUACCACUCAUGAAAAGUAGCUGUUGCGUUCUGUGUUCCACACCACCUCCCCUCAGCCCCCCUGAGGCCUCUGUGGCGGCCAGGAGGGCACACCCUUCAGCUCCCUGGCAGCGCCCACCUCCAGCUGCUGUGGAGCCCCUCAGCAUUUCCAGCUCAGGGCUUUUUGAGGGUUUGGUAGUUCACUUCUCCUAGACACAGGCAGCCCAAAGUGCCAGGCGUGUUACUGGGGAACUUCCUGCCAUGGAGGACGGAAAGUGAGUGGGAAAAGGCUGCCUUCUCUGGUUCUUCAGAGCUGCAAUUCUGGGGGUGCUCUCCACCAUUCCUCAGAGGGUCCCAGUUGCCCACGGUAAUAACCAGUGGAUUGGUGCUUCCUCUACUGUCUUCUUUCUCCUCUCCUCUCCCCUCUGCCCCACUUGUGCAUCCUAGGAUCCCUUCCCAAAAAGGCCACUUGGACCCAAGACACAAGUCUCUGUCUGAGGUUUUGGUUUGGGGAGAACCUAAGCUAACUCAUACAUCAGUGAGUAUGAUGGGAACUGGUUUUUCUUUAACAUUAAGAAAUAAAGCUGCUCCUUUGCUGAACAAAGGGAAAAGGGAGACUGCCACCAUUGGGAAGAGGAGCUAUCCUUGAAGCUGAAGAGGUGGAAACACUGUUCUGAUUGUUAGUAACUAAGUUAAGCCCCAGUGUUGCCUGUUAAUAUAGGCCAGGGGCUGCUGGUGGCUGGGGGAGGAACAGCUGGGCUCAUUUUGAGCAUGGAGGGGGUCCACAGAAUGU